rnacentral:rRNA from 1 species
GACGAACGCUGGCGGCGUGCUUAACACAUGCAAGUCGAACGGAAAGGCCCUGCUUUUGUGGGGUGCUCGAGUGGCGAACGGGUGAGUAACACGUGAGUAACCUGCCCUUGACUUUGGGAUAACUUCAGGAAACUGGGGCUAAUACCGGAUAGGAGCUCCUGCUGCAUGGUGAGGGUUGGAAAGUUUCGGAGGUUGGGGAUGGACUCGCGGCUUAUCAGCUUGUUGGUGGGGUAGUGGCUUACCAAGGCUUUGACGGGUAGCCGGCCUGAGAGGGUGACCGGCCACAUUGGGACUGAGAUACGGCCCAGACUCCUACGGGAGGCAGCAGUGGGGAAUAUUGCACAAUGGGCGGAAGCCUGAUGCAGCAACGCCGCGUGCGGGAUGACGGCCUUCGGGUUGUAAACCGCUUUCGCCUGUGACGAAGCGUGAGUGACGGUAAUGGGUAAAGAAGCACCGGCUAACUACGUG